rnacentral:rRNA from 1 species
GACGAACGCUGGCGGCGUGGAUUAGGCAUGCAAGUCGAACGGUAUCAUCCUUUCGGGGGUGAGAGAGUGGCGAACUGGUGAGUAACACGUAGGUUAUCUACCCUCAAGACGGGGACAACCCAGGGAAACUUGGGCUAAUACCGGAUGUGAGCAACUUUUAGUUGUUUGAAAGGUGGCGUAAGCUGUCGCUUGGGGAUGAGCCUGCGUCCUAUUAGUUAGUUGGUGAGGUAACGGCUCACCUAGGGCAAUGAUAGGUAGGCGGCCUUAACGGGUGGUCGCCCACACUGGGAUUGAGAUACGGCCCAGACUCCUACGGGAGGCAGCAGUCGAGAAUAGUCUACAAUGGUCGGAAGACUGAUAGUGCGACGCCGCGUGAACGAUGAAUCCCUUCGGGGUGUAAAGUUCUUUUAUAUGUGAGCAGUGCUUCUUAUAUUAACAGUAUGGGGAGAGAGAUAUUAGCAUAUGAAUAAGCAACGGCUAACUCCGUGCCAGCAGCCGGUAAACUCG